GAUGAACGCUGGCGGCGUGCCUAAUACAUGCAAGUCGAGCGAACGGACGAGAAGCUUGCUUCUCUGAUGUUAGCGGCGGACGGGUGAGUAACACGUGGAUAACCUACCUAUAAGACUGGGAUAACUUCGGGAAACCGGAGCUAAUACCGGAUAAUAUUUUGAACCGCAUGGUUCAAAAGUAAAAGACGGUCUUGCUGUCACUUAUAGAUGGAUCCGCGCUGCAUUAGCUAGUUGGUAAGGUAACGGCUUACCAAGGCAACGAUGCAUAGCCGACCUGAGAGGGUGAUCGGCCACACUGGAACUGAGACACGGUCCAGACUCCUACGGGAGGCAGCAGUAGGGAAUCUUCCGCAAUGGGCGAAAGCCUGACGGAGCAACGCCGCGUGAGUGAUGAAGGUCUUCGGAUCGUAAAACUCUGUUAUUAGGGAAGAACAUAUGUGUAAGUAACUGUGCACAUCUUGACGGUACCUAAUCAGAAAGCCACGGCUAACUACGUGCCAGCAGCCGCGGUAAUACGUAGGUGGCAAGCGUUAUCCGGAAUUAUUGGGCGUAAAGCGCGCGUAGGCGGUUUUUUAAGUCUGAUGUGAAAGCCCACGGCUCAACCGUGGAGGGUCAUUGGAAACUGGAAAACUUGAGUGCAGAAGAGGAAAGUGGAAUUCCAUGUGUAGCGGUGAAAUGCGCAGAGAUAUGGAGGAACACCAGUGGCGAAGGCGACUUUCUGGUCUGUAACUGACGCUGAUGUGCGAAAGCGUGGGGAUCAAACAGGAUUAGAUACCCUGGUAGUCCACGCCGUAAACGAUGAGUGCUAAGUGUUAGGGGGUUUCCGCCCCUUAGUGCUGCAGCUAACGCAUUAAGCACUCCGCCUGGGGAGUACGACCGCAAGGUUGAAACUCAAAGGAAUUGACGGGGACCCGCACAAGCGGUGGAGCAUGUGGUUUAAUUCGAAGCAACGCGAAGAACCUUACCAAAUCUUGACAUCCUUUGACAACUCUAGAGAUAGAGCCUUCCCCUUCGGGGGACAAAGUGACAGGUGGUGCAUGGUUGUCGUCAGCUCGUGCCGUGAGAUGUUGGGUUAAGUCCCGCAACGAGCGCAACCCUUAAGCUUAGUUGCCAUCAUUAAGUUGGGCACUCUAAGUUGACUGCCGGUGACAAACCGGAGGAAGGUGGGGAUGACGUCAAAUCAUCAUGCCCCUUAUGAUUUGGGCUACACACGUGCUACAAUGGACAAUACAAAGGGCAGCGAAACCGCGAGGUCAAGCAAAUCCCAUAAAGUUGUUCUCAGUUCGGAUUGUAGUCUGCAACUCGACUACAUGAAGCUGGAAUCGCUAGUAAUCGUAGAUCAGCAUGCUACGGUGAAUACGUUCCCGGGUCU
rnacentral:rRNA from 1 species